CGCUACCUGGAAGACGGCAGGGCCGGAGGACCCGUGAACAGAACACAGCAGAAAUAAUUCUUGGCUUGCUGCUGGGCCCUGGUGGAGACUGAGUGCCUGAUCGUGGAACUGGCUGGCCGGGUAACCUGAGCUGCCCGUCAGGAGCUGGUGUUACCAGGUGCUAUAAACCAGAACAAACACACGGGCUCCUCAGAACUAAAUCACGAGAUACAAACGUGAACAGGCUCUGAAAGCACAGGGUGUUUUAGAAAGAAGCGUGUGGGUGGAACCCUUGGACAGAAGCCGAGGGCGGGAGCACCGUGCACCGUGAGGGUGCUCCCCGCAGGCCCCCAGUGAGUGGCGACCGCCGGCCUCCUCCUCCUCCGGCCCAGUGCUGCCUGGCCAGGGGACGCCCUGACUCCGAGGGCCGCGUCAGAGCCCGCACAGCAGCAAACACCUCCCCUCUCCGGGCCACUGGCUCCAGCCCCUGAGGGGCGUCCAGUCCCCAGCCCCAGGGAGAGGCCAAAGAGGACUCACUUUUCCCCGGGGACCCAGUGGCCACCUGACUGGACUGGAGCAUUAGACUGCUUUCAUCAGCAGGGGAAUAACUUAUCCUGACUCUGCCAAACAUUUCCUGGGGAUGUGUCUUGCAUCCUGACAUGCUCCUCCCAGCAGCCACAUCUCUGAGCUUCCUGGACGCCUGAUUCGCAGCACUGUUUCUGACCAAAGAACUAAUUGCACACAGACAACAAUAAAAACACACACAGAAUUUACUGCCAUACCAUGUACCUAUUACCCCAAAUCACCUGACCUUACAGAGAGUUGAAAUGUCUGAAUGAAAAUAAAAUAGAACAUAACGUCUAAUAAAAAGAGGGUGCUGUCCAGGGGGAAGCAGCCUGGGGCACAGGAUGCGUCACCCUCUCCCUCUCCCACUGGGUGUCUCCCGUCUGUGUCUCUGGGUCCCGCAAGAAGCCCCGAGAGCAUCUGGGCAGCACACAGACGCGGUCCUGUGCUCACGGCCUGUGGUGCCUGCCCACAGCUUUAUUCUUCAGGGUCAGGAACAGAGUGAUAGGAUCUUAAUGUGUAUUUCUGCCCUACCUUCCUGGUCCACUCUUUCUAGACAGAGCAGGUCGGUGGUGGUUAGCAUCACCCAUUUAGUUCCUAGUUUACAGAAUGUGAGAAAGCCAAAACUCAAGAAAGAAUAAUAACACUGUGACUAUCUGGACUUGAGGUACGUGUAUUAAUUGUUAAAAGGUUUGCUAACUGCCUUUGGAGACAAAGGAAAGGAAACUUUUGCUUGUCUAGGUGACAGGUGCAUCAU